rnacentral:rRNA from 1 species
CGUCAAAGCUUCCAUGCUACAAUAUCUAAUUCCCACAACCACAUAAACCCCUUUAUUACCACUAGACAAUUCUAUAUAACUAUAGAAAUUAUUUUGUUAAAACUAGUAACAAGAAAUAAACCUUCUCUUUAAUAUAAGUAUAUGCCAGAAAGGAUAAACCACUGGCCAUUAACAUACUUGAAAAUUAAGCAGCAACACCACAAGAGAACCCUGCCUAUAUGUAUGUUAAUUUUACACUAAAACAUUUCAAGAAAGAUUAAAAGAAAAAGAAGGAACUCGGCAAACAUAAAUCUCGCCUGUUUACCAAAAACAUCGCCUCUUGAAACCUAUAUAAGAGGUCACGCCUGCCCGGUGACUCAUGUUUAACGGCCGCGGUAUCCUAACCGUGCGAAGGUAGCGUAAUCACUUGUUCUUUAAAUAAGGACUAGUAUGAAUGGCCACACGAAGAUUUUACUGUCUCCUUUUUCUAAUCAGUGAAACUAAUCUCCCCGUGAAGAAGCGGGGAUAAAAAUAUAAGACGAGAAGACCCUAUGGAGCUUUAAACACAGCAGCACUUGUUAACCUUCAAACUUUCAAAUAAAACUUAUACAUCAUGACUGCAAGUUUUAGGUUGGGGUGACCACGGAGCAAAAAAUAACCUCCAUGUAGAACAGAUUUUUCCAUGAGCAAAAAACCUCAACUUUAUGCACCAACAAAUUGACUUCUAUUGACCCAAUAUUUUGAUCAACGAACCAAGUUACCCUAGGGAUAACAGCGCAAUCCACUUUAAGAGCCCCUAUCGACAAGUGGGCUUACGACCUCGAUGUUGGAUCAGGGUACCCUAGCGGUGUAGCCGCUGCUAAUGGUUCGUUUGUUCAACGAU